CUCUGGGCCGGCGCGUGCCUGCAGCGCCGCGGGCUCCUCGCCUGUGGGCCGCGCGAGGCCCCCGCUGUCCGCUCUCCUAAAGCCUCGGUGAGAGCCGAGCUGCCCGAGUGCGUGUUCACAAAGGGUCACCACACACGGAGCUGCCCCUCCCUUCUCCCUAACCCUACCUUCGAGGCCAGGGGCUUUUCUACCAGGAUUCUGGGGUGUUCCUCCUUUCCUCCCUCCCAGAUCUUCUAACGGUAAGGGGAGUAGCCGAAGCACAGGGACUGCUAUCCAUGACCCAUUCUUACUAGUCAGCGGCUGAUCUGUCCCUGCUGCGCUAAUUCCGCUGCCCUGCCUUGUUUUAACUUCAGAGAAAGGGAGAGUUCUCGUUUAGUUUGUAAGUUUAAGGCUCUGCUUUCGUAGGAAGGUCAUGUGGUUUAAGGGACAUCGUGACCGCGUGUGCUGUUUAUGCGUCUGCAUUCUGAAUCUUGGGGCAGCAUAUUCCAGAAGUCUUUAAAGGUCGAUUUGUUCUAUGUCCUAGAAUAUAUGUAGUUUCUGAACAUUACUGAGUAAUCACCAUUGGCAUUUUGGACUGGGUUUUUUUUUUCUUUUUUAGUGGUCUCAAAUUAAGUGAUUAUAUUCUGGAAUAAUGCUGAUAAUUUUGAUAGGAUGGUAUAGAGGAAACAGGUUUCAUGUACCAAGAAAUUCUUCAGUAAAAAGGAUUUUAGUUUUCGGUACUUCUGAGUGCAGAUGGCCAAGAGAUCGAACGGAGAGUUUGUUGUUUUGUUUUUCUCCGACUGAAAAGUAGGCUAGUUAGUUUUGUUUACCUUUUUUGCUGUUGUACUAGUAGGUUAUUAAUGUGCUGGUAUAUUUAUUGUAAGAUCUAGCUACUUAGGUUUUCUUCAUUUUUUUUUUUUAAUGAAUUAUGAUGAAAAUAUGGGAUCAUAGUAUUUGCUCCUGGAAUAGGAGCCAAAACUCAGAGCGUUUUUCUUGUUCACCAUUGCUAGUUCCAUUUCUAGAAUGGAAUAUGCUAUUUUUUGUAAUAAACACUUGCUAAAUGUCAAUUUCAUAUAUUGAACAAUUGAUUCAGUUAAAAUGUGGCUAAAAUUUUAAGAUUGAAAAAUCAACAUCACCAAACUGAAUUGUAUCAAUCAUUAUUGUCUGCAAAGCUGAUUUGCAGUCUUUUAGUGCAAAUUUGAUUUUUUGCCAGGGAAAUAUAUGUAAUAAUAACAGAAACAAACUGGACAUGGGGCUUGGGGUGUGGAAAGAAAAGAAAAGGAUUUUAGUGUGUGCUGUGUUGUGACUUCAGAGCUUUUCUCCAUGUAAAAGGUAGAAAAAGUCUUAUAAAGACUUCAUAAGAUAAAAGGAAGGAUACUAAUAUAGAACAAUCAGGAGAGAUUGACUAGAAAACUCGGAUUUUGUUUAUAUUAGAGUAAUGGUCCCAAGUUGAAAAAAUUGUAUACGUUUCUGCUUAUUCCUUACCAAUGUAUUUGAAAUGCCUCUUUCUGUGUACACUCAUCCCCAAAAAAGUGCAGUUACCUUCCAGUAGGAUUAAAGCUCAGUGCCUCGAUCCCUUGUCAGCAAUGUGAGACAGAAGUUAAGUUUUAUUUACCAGUUUACAUUUAAAAAUUAACAUGAUCUAAUCAGAGGGAGUUUUUAUUAAAGUAAUAACUAAUGAGCAGCUACAAUAGGAAUACAAUGUUGUACAAUUAGGAUUUUUAUUUUUUUCAUGUUCUGUUCUCAUAAUGUCAGCUUUUGCCCCCUCUGCUAGGUUGGAUUCCUUAAGCACAAAACAAGUCUUCAGUCCAAACCUGAGAUGUAAAAGCUGCCUGCUGUGAUUGCUUGUUCUGGUCUCAUCAAAAAGAUGAGAGUUGAAGCAACUAACCAUAUUUUCUAGCAGCACCCUUAAAAACCCAAAUGCUUAUCUCCAAAGAUGGAAGAGGAAGAUUAAAACAAUAAUUUGCA